rnacentral:rRNA from 1 species
AGUGGCAGACGGCUUAGUAACGCGUGGGUAUCUACCUAGAGGUUUGGAACAACUAUUGGAAACGAUAGCUAAUACCAAAUAUUCCCUAAGGGGGAAAGAUUUAUUGCCUUUAGAUGAGCCCGCGUCGGAUUAGCUAGUUGGUAGGGUAAAAGCCUACCAAGGCUACGAUCCGUAGCUGGUCUGAGAGGAUGAUCAGCAAGAUUGGGACUGAGACACGGCCCAGACUCCUACGGGAGGCAGCAGUGGGGAAUAUUGCGCAAUGGGGGAAACCCUGACGCAGCGAUGCCGCGUGAGUGAAGAAGGCCUUAGGGUUGUAAAACUCUUUCACCGGUGAAGAUAAUGACGGUAGCCGGAGAAGAAGCCCCGGCUAACUCCGUGCCAGCAGCCGCGGUAAUACGGAGGGGGCUAACGUUGUUCGGAAUUACUGGGCGUAAAGCGCGCGUAGGCGGAUUAGACAGUUGAGGGUGAAAUCCCGGAGCUUAACUCCGGAACUGCCUUCAAUACUACUAAUCUUGAGUUCGGAAGAGGUGAGUGGAAUUCCUAGUGUAGAGGUGAAAUUCGUAGAUAUUAGGAAGAACAUCAGUGGCGAAGGCGACUCACUGGUCCGAUACUGACGCUGAGGUGCGAAAGCGUGGGGAGCAACAUGAUUAGAUACCCUGUUAGUCCACGCCGU